CUGUACACCCUGCACUUGACCUUGUUUUUCUUGAACAAUCGUUCUUGGUUGUGUCUCGGGAGGCGCUGCAAAACGAUUUGAUCAGAUUAGGGAAUACCUGUGAAGACUCUCUCUCACGCCCAUGUUUAGCGUGAAAUGGAUCCAAUACAAAGUGUGAUGAGAUCAGAAGCGAAUUUCCCGAUACAAUCUAUGACCCAUGAAACCAUUCCAAUGAGGAGGCAUGUGCCCCAUUGUGCACAAUUCAGCCUCGCACUGCCCCCAACCCAAUGCUCUAUCUCAAUGAAGGCUGCCUGCAACCCCAUAAUAACUACCACAGCCACACAAAACCAGAGGUUCUUCAUGAUGCCCUGAAACAUGUUCUUCUUCUCCAGCUUUCUGCAAUUGAAUAGAUUGAACACCUGGCAGAGAACAAAACUGUUGAACACCAAGGAUUUAUUGACCUUGGGGCUGAUGCCUAGGAUGGCCUUCCCCUUGAAUUGGAUUGUCACUAAAAUGGCAACCUGGUAUGAGGCUUGAGUGAUUAUGUUUCUCCACAUGGCCCAGGUUAUCAGCUUUCCACCUUGUCCUACUGGUUGCUUGCCUAUUAGUUUCUCCGCUGGUGGCUCUGUCAACAGAGCCAAUCCCCCCGGGAUGCCCACAAUCACACUCCCGAAGGCGAGUUGAAUUGCAGUUACUGGGGCAUCCCCCAAAAGCCCCGUGCUGAUGGAGGUUAUCAGUAACCCUGCGAUGACCAUGGUGAGCUCAUGCUGGAUGUACUUCUGGACGUUUUCAUAUGCACACCUUCCGUGCCUCAUGAUGGUCUCCAGGACACUAAAAUUGCCAUCCAGGAUGACGAUAUCAGAAAUCCCUUCGGCCAUUUUGGUGCUCCAAGUCCCCAUUGUCACCCCUACAUCAGACAGUUUUAUGGCCGGAGCCUCAUCUCUCCUGGCUCCAAUGACAGCUACCGUGUGGCCCUUUUGCUUCAAACACUCCACUAAAAGACGCUUGUCAGAGGGACGGGCGUUUCCCAUGAUGGAGAUUCGAUCUACCCUAUCCAUCCUCUCUUCAUCGGUGUAGUUCUGAAAUUCAUUACCAUCAAGAACCAGAGAAUUGGGGUCAAACAUACCACACUGAAUUGCUAUGUCUAGCAGCUCUGAAAUAUUGUCACUUGAGACCAUCUUGAUGUUAACCCCAGCAUUUCUACAAGCUUCCACAGCUUCUUUUGUCUCUGUCCAAUCUGUGUCCCUCAGACCCAAUAGUCCUAUCAAGAUAAAGCUGUUUUCUUCACUUGAUUCAUUAAUUUUCUUAUAGGCAAAUGCAAUGGUUUUGAGAUGUUUGGACUGCAUCUGCUCAAUAAAUUUUUCAAAAUCCAUCCUUUUCUCUCUUUCCAUGUCAUUUAUCCUCCCUUUACUGUCAUAGUAGAAUGAACACCGGGCCAGUAUAGUUGUUGCUGGUCCUUUCCAGUGCAAACAUGUGACUGUUUCAUUCUCUCUGUUCUUCCUCAUUAACACUAGACUUCUUUCCUCAUUGGAGUUCAGUUCUUUGGUUUCAACAAGGGUGCAACUCUGCUUUAAAAUUUCUUGUCUCAUGCCUAACUUCAAUGCAGCCCAUGAAAGGACCCCUUCCUCUUCUGAGCUGUAAGCAUUCUUUGGGUCCAGAACUGGUGUGUAGAUACCAUCACACAGAGCAUCAACUACAUCUGGGUCUAUGACAGAGUCGCCGUUGAUGUCUUCUUCACCAAUCCUGCACAUUUUCACUUGUAUUGGGCUCAAUGUUAGCCCACCAAUUUUGUCAGUGCAGAUGGUGGUUACUGAUCCCAUGGUUGCACAAGCCAAUAAUUCUGGCGCAAAGGCCUUUCCGGAUAGUGUUUUCUUAUUCCAAUAUCUGAGUGAAAGGGUGAUAAUAAAAGGAUAUCCUUCUGUUAUUCCCACAAGCAACAUAUUGAGUGAAGUUGUGAAGAUACUUAUCUUCCUAGUUGGUUGCACAACAAUCCUCUUGACCGCAUCCAUCAAGUCCUUGGCUGUGGAUGGUUUUCCCUUCAUAGAUGGGAAUCCUGGACUAUCAUCUUCCUUUUCAAGUUGAAGGCGCAGGAGCAGCUCUACAAGAAUGAGAAGACUGGUGAGAAGCCCAAUGAUUUCUGUCCUAGUGUUCAGCUUGUCGAGCUGAGCUUGUAAAGGUGUCUUCUUAGGAGCUUGGAUUACUUUACUCAUCAUCUUACCCCACUCUGUGUUCAUGCCAGCUGAUGUGACUAGCAUUCGACCAUUCCCGCGAAUCACUUUUGCUCCAUACAACAUAAAUGGGUUUUGGCCAUUAAUGAUGGACUCUGAAUGAUCAUCCAGUUCUAAGACUUCACCUGAUACAUACAAACCAUCAGCAGGAACCUGAUAUCCCCUUUUCAAAACUACUAUGUCACCCAUCACUAUUUCAGAGAUGGAAAGCUCCUGCUGGCAUCCCCCUCUGAAAACUUGGACCACUGUUUCAGUCAUUUUUAAGAGCUCUUUUUCUGACAACUUGUGUUGGGCUUCAUGCCAGAAAUCACGAAUUGAAUGACACACAACAAGUAUGAUGAUGGCAACAAGAAUAACGAACCCUUCAUACCAACCAGUCUCUAGGCCUUCCUUUUUGAUCCAAUACCAGAGUGACAACACCAUGGACACCAAAAGGAGGACAAUCAUGUAGCUGUUGCAAGCCUUUAAGAGGCACUGAAAGAAGGUUUUUGUAGCUGGCUCUGUUUGCGAGAUUGCGCUGGCUAAGCGUCGGGAUUGAAGAUCCUGCGCAUCACCCAGGAUCCCCUUCUCUAAGUCGGUGCCAAGAGCCUCUGCAAUCCCUUGGACACCUCCAAAGUCAAGUAGGGAACGCAAAUCCUUUUCCGUAACAAUUCUGUCAAUGUUGGGACAUUGGCGAUUUGCAUUAGUGCUACUGCAGACAUCAUAUUCAUCAGAAGGGAUAUCUAGAGAGACUUGAGGUGAUGGAGAUAAGCUUCUCACAGGUCCAUCUGGUUCUGAGUCCUGCAAAAUGGUAGGCAGCACAUUAUAAAGGAAUAUGGUGGCAGAGGGUUGGCCCUGUCCGUUCCAUGUGGGGUUGAGUUAAGGGAGCUUUUAAAAUCUGCUCAAUUUCAAUUCAAUCCAUUGAACAAUCCUUUAAAAAAAAUAUUUAUGAUGCGCAUCAAUAACCAAAUAACCCAACCCCUUUUUUCUCUCGCAGAACUAAAAAUGCCCACUGUGAAAACCCCAAACACAGUAUAACUGCAUAACAAAACAACUGUACAGUAACUGGGCACUCAAAAUGUAACCUGGCACUUCUGGCACCAUUUUGUUUGGGAGGAAGAAGAAUGGGAUGAACAUGUCCAAUGACAGUUUGGACAAGGGGAAGUUUAAGGGUGGCAGUGAAGAGGGGCGGCAGCUGCUGGUGAGAGACGCCUACAAUAGCAGUGAUCAGGUCUGUGUUUUUCUUCUCAGAAUGGUUGUCAAGUCAAGCAAUAAUUAGUAAUUAAGUGGAAGUUUGUGAGGUAAAAUAUGUAGUGCUUCUGGAAUUCCAAUAGUUUGUAUUUCCUACUGAAAUGAGAAACAUACUUCGUGAUCGUCUUCAUCAGAGGUGCUGAGGACGGCAUAAGAUGAAGCUGAAGAGAUUUCAACAGGAGCAAGGGACCUCCUUGGAUAACCUAAUUUUGAGAUGAGAAUCCGAUGUGCCUGUAGCGUCAAGAGAAUGCUGCGCCAUCUCCUCCUGGGUUUAUCGGCUGCGGUUAAGGGUGAAUCCUGAGCCUCCAGGUCCUCAUCAGCGGAGCCACAACUUUUGUUUGACAUGUGGGGUUGGACGGUAAAGUGUUGGCACAGGGUGCUGACAAUCCAAAUAUAAAAGAAGAAGAAGAAGAAGAAGAAGUGGUUUAAGCAUCAUUAUAAUGCCGAACUGCCUAAAAUUGGAAAGGAAACCGGUAAAUAUAGUGCUAAUGAUAAUAAUGUACAUGAUCUGAGUAGCGUCUUAUUGUUAUGAGGCUGACAGUGAAGAAGUGCUCACCUAUAUGGUAGCUGCAGGUGUUGGUCGCCGAGGUUGAUGUUGAUCGGCCUAAUUUACCGGCACUCCCUUGCUGGAGAAAUGGAUUGUAUAGAUGGAGAAUGUAGAGGUUGAGGGAUGUAGAAGUGAGGAGAGAACUCUAGCUCUUAUAAAGCGAUGCCCACUUGAUCUAAAGACGUGUGGAAAAGUCCAGUGAAACUGCAGUGUAAUUACACUGCUACUGCGAAUCAGGGAGGCAUCAUCCUGUACGGUGGCCAUGGGUGCUUGAAAAUCAACUCAAAACAUCAACAAACACUCGUUUUGUACGCGGCUUUGCCUUCUGAGAUGGACCAUGCAUGCAUUUCCUUGAAAAAAUGAGGAAGAUGGUAGGAACUACACAGCAUUUGACUAACAAAGAUUUUGCUUGGGGGCUAGUCCCAAAUGCAACUAUCUAUGCCGUGUUGAUAUGUAAUUAAAUAUUGGAUGGGGAUGCUCCUGUUUGUAUUGAGGAGACAUGGAAUGCCCUCUGAGUCCACCUUAAUUACCUACCAGUUUCGAGUUAUGAGACUUGUGGUUGGGCCAACUCAGAAUGGCUCUGCUUACCCUUUAUACUGUAGGAAGCAAGACAUAUCUUUCCAUUUUAACCAUAUUCCAAGUAUGAAUAGAAGGAAGCCCUGUGAAGUUGCACU